CGAGCGGCGAACGGGUGAGUAACACGUGAGCAACCUACCCUCAACUCUGGGAUAAGCCUCGGAAACGGGGUCUAAUACCGGAUAUCAUCACGGACUUCAUGGUUUGUGGUUGAAAGUUCUGGCGGUUGGGGAUGGGCUCGCGGCCUAUCAGCUUGUUGGUGGGGUAAUGGCCUACCAAGGCGUCGACGGGUAGCCGGCCUGAGAGGGCGACCGGCCACACUGGGACUGAGACACGGCCCAGACUCCUACGGGAGGCAGCAGUGGGGAAUAUUGCGCAAUGGACGAAAGUCUGACGCAGCAACGCCGCGUGAGGGAUGACGGCCUUCGGGUUGUAAACCUCUUUCAGCAGGGACGAAGCGAGAGUGACGGUACCUGCAGAAGAAGGACCGGCCAACUACGUGCCAGCAGCCGCGGUAAUACGUAGGGUCCGAGCGUUGUCCGGAAUUAUUGGGCGUAAAGGGCUCGUAGGCGGUUCGUCACGUCGGGAGUGAAAACUCGGAGCUUAACUCCGAGCCUGCUUCCGAUACGGGCAGACUAGAGGUAGGCAGGGGAGAGCGGAACUCCUGGUGUAGCGGUGGAAUGCGCAGAUAUCAGGAAGAACACCGGUGGCGAAGGCGGCUCUCUGGGCCUUACCUGACGC
rnacentral:rRNA from 1 species